rnacentral:lncRNA from 1 species
GAGAGUUUUUAGAAAGGAAAGCCUUUCCCACUUGUUUUCUUUAAAGCAACUCAAGUAAGGAUGUCAGAAGCUUCUAUAAAAAAGUCAGAAAAUAAAGAGAGUAUGUUUAGUCUACAUGGCAUAUUCUUAAAAUUCCUAUUUAGACAUUUGUAUGGCAACUGUUAAGUCACAGCCGGAACCAGUGAUUGAGUAUCAGGUGAAGGGACACGGCCAGCCCUGGGAGCACAGGUGGAAACAAAUCACAUGUGUGAUUGGAAAGGAUGAAGCCUGACUCCACCCCUUCCUAUCCUUAUUUAAGGGUUGGCUGCCAUAUAAGAAUUUCUUCUUGGAGGUCCUCUUCUUUAGUGUACUUGGAGAGCUGCAGUCCAUGGAAAAGAGCAAGUAAUUAUUUAUUUACUGGUUUGUGAAAUUUGUUUUUCUUUGGGUAAUUUAAUAUUGGUUUAAAAGAACUAUAUCUGUUAUUGACAUUCUCUACUGAGUUGUAUUAAAGUGAAGUUGAAGGAAAACUUUAGAAAAUGAAAAGAAUCAUAGAAUUACCCAGGUUGGAAAAGACCUUGAAGAUCAUCAAGUCCAACUGCAACCUAACCAGAACCCUAACUCUAAAAACCCUACACUAAAUCAUAUCCCUGAGUACCACAUCCAAACAGCUCUUAAACACAACCAAGGAUGGCAAUUCAACCACCUCCCUGGGGAGCCUAUUCCAGUACCUGAAAGAAAUAGUGACCAAUCCAUUUUUUUUUAAAAUACAAGUUCUUUUUUACUUAGCUACUGCAUUCUGGGAGGAAAAAAAUGCCAAAGUAAUGCCAAACUAGUAUAUGAGUUAGUGUUCUAUAUUUGGAAGGUUGAAAUGUUCCUUAAAUUUCUUCCAGCUUGGGCUGGGUUAUUAUCUUUAAUUAACUUCUUGUCCUGCAGAUUUCCAUAUAUUGGCUGUACUAAAGUAAACACUGAAACCUUUUGGGAGGGAUGGGUGGAUAUUCUGCAGAAAUGUAGUGUUGUGGAUGUGCUGCAGUGCAUACAAGAAGGGUAGGAAGAUGAUGAGCAGAGGAAAAUAUGAGAACACAAGGAAUACAUUAGCCUCAUUUUCUUGAGUUCUGUUUGUUCCCUGCCAGAUAUGAGAAGUUGGCUUUGAAAGAUUCCCUUUACAUUCCUCUGCUAUCUUGUUGGUAUGUCUUUGCUAUAUUAUUCAGCAUGCACGUAGUACUUCUGAGUUUGAUCUAUCAUUAGUGAUGCUGAAGACUCAUUUGAUUUUCUGAGCACUAUUUGUCUUUUCAAGUGAGCACUAAUGCAUUGUGUUGACUGAUAGCAAUGACUGUGACAAAACAUUUUUGUGAUAUCCUAGUAGAGAAAGU